rnacentral:lncRNA from 1 species
AUGGCUUCCUCCACGACGGAGCAGGAUCUGGGGCUGGAGCAGGAGCUGAAGGUGGUUCUGGAGGUGGUUGGUGCAGAAGACGGGGUGAAGCAACAGUCAGGCCAGGGGAGAGUGCAGGAAGAGGUUGGAGAAGAGUGUAGAGCUGCUGAGGCUGAAGCUGAGGCAACACUUCCGGUCUCAGGUGCCAGUUUUUCCCACCAGCAAGAACCAGUCUGGACUGACAAAAAAGAGGAGUGUCUGAACUGCCAGUGCCCAUCAGUUCCUACAGAGACCUCAGACCUUCAGCAGCUUUCAGACCAAACAGCACCACCCGUUGUGGAGCUCUCUAGCCCAACACAAAUACAAGACUGCCCACACCACCUGUGUCCUGAUCAAGAAACCUCAGAAGGAGGCCAAUAUGUCCCUUUAGAUGUUCCAGAACAUGACGAAACGGAGGAUAGAUCCAAUUUGAUUGGACCUAACCAGGAACAAGAAGUGAAACAAGCUCACCUGGAGGCUUUAGAAAGGGACCAAGAUCCAGAACCAAAGCAAGAGAACCAGGAGAACCCAAUAAACAUGUCAGACUCAGAGAAGAACGAGAACCAAGAGAGUCAAGUGUCUGAGCAUUGUGACUGGGAGGGAGCUGUCCCAAUUGUGAUGGUCACUAAUCUAGAGGAGAUUCCAGUGUCAGUGAGCGACAACAAAUCCUACUGUACAGAUGAUCGUUAUACAAUGUGGCAGCAGGUGUCAGCAGAGAGGCAGGCAGAGGACGAGGCGGAAUCCGAAAAGCAGGAGGGCACCGUGCCCGCUGAUGUCAGCCCCUCUGCCAGUCCCAGUGACGUCACGGAGUUCAGCAGCGGUGACUUGCAGUUCCUGAAGAGCGACAGUGUGUCUCUCUGCAGUGAAACAACCAUCUCUGGCAAGAGUGAUGAACAAGAAGGGCCUGAAGAAGACACCAGGAGUGUAGCUGCGUCCUCUGUCAUGGAAGGCCCUGAGGAAGACACCAGGAGUGUUACAUCAUCCUCUGUCAUGUCUCUGUUCCAGAGGAUGCAGAUGGACCCUCUGGAGCGGGAAUGGUUACGGUGUGCUGCAUUAGGAAAUGCUCCUGGCCUGCGCCAGCUUCUGCUCCAGGACCCCUCCCUGGCCCCCAAAAAGGUGACGGCUCUCCACUGGGCAGCCAAGCAGGGCCGCAUAGAGACGGUGGACAUGAUGGCUCGCUCUGGCGCAGACGUCAACCAGAGAGCGAAGGUGUCUACAAGGAGAAGCAGCUACAGUAGGAAGGAUUGUGAAUUAGAGUGA